rnacentral:lncRNA from 1 species
AUGGUUCUGGACUGUUAGAUCACUAGUACGACCCACAAGUAUGGGGUACUAUGGUGUACCAUAAAGGAUAUCUAUAAAAAUUGCCCAAUUACCAAACAAGUGAUCUGCUUGUUGAACAAAUUGUUCUACCGAGAUGCCCAUACAAGAAUAGAAAAUGGCACUGAAAUUAAAUACAUUUUUUGAUGAUGAAGUUCAUUCUAAUCCUAUAUCGCUACGUACGUACUGAGUGUAAGUGAUCCUUCCCGAAUAGCAUAAAAAAAUAUGUUGAGGUUACCACCUAGAGGCGACCUUUUAUCAACUAGACCGACUAGGCACACCCUCACCUAUACUAUUGUUGUCAUUAUGAUUAAACCAUUAUGUUCCCCCUAUAUGUCAAAUGAGUAGACCAAGUUACAUGUACGCCGCCAACUCUAACCUCUGUCUCAUGUUACAACUUUAGGUCCAUCUGUAAGCACAUAGGGCUCAUAUAUUUAACACCAAUUCUAAACCCGCACCCUGACUAGUCAAGAAAAAAAAACUAGUAGUAAACGAGAUAAUAUUAGCAUAUUAGCAUACCAAAUUGUGCAGGACCCAUGCAUAUGGGGAACUAAGGAUCAGAGUAGGGAAAUUUUUGAGCAUAUUCAAAUCUGUUAUUGUGCAUAUACCACAAGUUCAAUUGAUCAGCAAUAACAUCCAUGUAGACGGAGGAAGUAGGUUUAAGUGCCAACGAUGAGCAAGAGAGGGUAUGGUAUGGGAGCAUUCAGCAUCCGGAGCAUUCAGCAUCCGUGCCAGGAGAAUGGAGAUAUUGUACAUUGUGGUCAAAGAGCUAAGAACAAGAGGGGAAGACGAGAAGGCUGUUGGAAAUAUGGUCACAUUUCGGCAUAUUUUAAACCAAAAUAAUAGAAUAACAUGCAUGACAUUCAUAGGGAAUAAUCUAGAAUAUAGGAACAAAACAUCUAACAACAUGCUUAAUUUGUAAUAAGCAUAAACAUCUAUAUUGUGAACAUUUAGCAAUGAACUCAUUGCUAAUAGGUAUUCAAAAACAGUAAACAGAAAGAAAAGGAACACGUUAUACCUUGAAAACGGCCCUCCGUUGGUGUUUGAGAUAGUACUGCCUCCGUUGAUGUUGUCGUUCCCAUUGCCGUUGCCACUGUCGCUG